UACGAAGGGAGCUAGCGUUACUCGGAAUUAUUGGGCGUAAAGCGUGCGUAGGCGGUUUUAUAAGUUAGAAGUGAAAGCCUGGGGCUCAACCCUAGAAUUGCUUUUAAUACUGUAAAACUUGAGUACUAGAUGGGAUAGCGGAAUUCCUAGUGUAGAGGUAAAAUUCGUAGAUAUUAGGAGGAACACCGGUGGCGAAGGCGGCUAUCUGGCUGGUUACUGACGCUGUUGCACGAAAGCGUGGGGAGCAAACAGG
rnacentral:rRNA from 1 species